AAGACUAUACUUUCAGGGAUCAUUUCUGUAGUUCAUUAUUAGAGAGGUCUCUCUGAAUGAGUAGAGCACUAGAAACCACAGAAGGAGGCACAGUGGUCUCUCCUGAGCAUAAAGCUGGUUUUUGAUGUUGCUUUGCUGCAACUGCCAUUCGUCACUGAUGACUGUUUUCUUCCUCUGGGAGAGUAAGAGGGAGAGGACACUAUCUGAGUGU
rnacentral:snoRNA from 10 species